rnacentral:rRNA from 1 species
AUGAAGUCGUCCUCUCUCUCGAUGGAAGCAGAGGACGCAACGUCACGGGACUUGCAGGCGAGGCAGGGGUACUUGGCGGCGCCCGGCGACGGCAGGGAGGAGCGGAGGCGGCGCAAAACGACUGGGACUCGCCGGAAACGCGAGCGGAGGCGGCGGGGCAGACCGGACUUGAGGAGGCCGGUUCGGGCCGAUGCAGCCAACGGCACGCGGCGCGGUGAGGGACUUGCAGCGGCGGAGGAGGUCAGUCCUGGUUGUUGUCGCAGAAGGCGGGGUCGCUGGGUCUUCAGCGCUGGUGGCGGCGCGAACUUGGAAGAAGAGGACGGCCAUGGCAUUGGGGUGAAGCUCCUGUUCGUGACAGAUGAAGAGAGAAAGCAACAUGAGAGAGAGAUAGAGAAGAACCAGAAGGAGGGAGAUAGAACGGGAAGGAGAGGGGCAACGAGGACGGCCUGCGGUUUCAGGCGAGGAACAGAGCAGCUUCGGUGGUGGCGCUCGCCGGCAUGGUGGUGGCGCGCGGGUCGAGCAAGGCUCUCGGGCAGAGGCGGUUGCCUUGAUCCAGAUCGGAUCGAGCGCUGCGGGGGUUGGAGGCAUGGUAGGCUGGGGCCGCUGGCUGUGGUGGGAUCCUGA